rnacentral:rRNA from 1 species
GACGAACGCUGGCGGCGUGCUUAACACAUGCAAGUCGAACGGAAAGGCCCUGCUUUUGUGGGGUGCUCGAGUGGCGAACGGGUGAGUAACACGUGAGUAACCUGCCCUUGACUUUGGGAUAACUUCAGGAAACUGGGGCUAAUACCGGAUAGGAGCUCCUGCUGCAUGGUGGGGGUUGGAAAGUUUCGGCGGUUGGGGAUGGACUCGCGGCUUAUCAGCUUGUUGGUGGGGUAGUGGCUUACCAAGGCUUUGACGGGUAGCCGGCCUGGGAGGGUGACCGGCCAAAUUGGGACUGAGAUGCGGCCCAGACUCCUACGGGAGGCAGCAGUGGGGAAUAUUGCACAAUGGGCGGAAGCCUGAUGCAGCAACGCCGCGUGCGGGAUGACGGCCUUCGGGUUGUAAACCGCUUUCGCCUGUGACGAAGCGUGAGUGACGGUAAUGGGUAAAGAAGCACCGGCUAACUACGUG